UACGUAGGGGGCUAGCGUUGUCCGGAUUUAUUGGGCGUAAAGAGCGUGUAGGCGGCUUGGCAAGUCUGCUGUGAAAACUCGAGGCUCAACCUCGAGCUGUCGGUGGAAACUGCUUGGCUAGAGUCCGGAAGAGGAGAGUGGAAUUCCCGGUGUAGCGGUGAAAUGCGCAGAUAUCGGGAAGAACACCCGUGGCGAAGGCGGUUCUCUGGGACGGUACUGACGCUGAGACGCGAAAGCGUGGGGAGCGAACAGG
rnacentral:rRNA from 1 species